rnacentral:lncRNA from 1 species
GAGGGGCAGGGUGUGGUGGCUCGUGCCUAUAAUCCUAGGCAUGGAUUUAAGAGGCCUAGGUAGGUGGAUCCCUUGAGCCCAGGAGUUCGAGACCAGCCUGGGCAACAUAGCAAAACCCUGUCUCUACAAAAUAUAUAAAAAUUAGCUGGGCAUGGUGGUGUGUGCCUGUAGUCCCAGAUACUUGGGAGGCUAAGGCAGGAGGAUCACCUGAGCUCAGAGAGUCAAGGCUGCAGUAAGCCAUGAUCAUGCCACUGCACUCUGGCCUGGGUAACAGAGUGAGAUCCUGUUUAAAAAAAAAAGCAGGGGCAGGGGCCAGGUGCAGUGGUUCAUUCUUAUAAUCCCAGCACUUUGAGAGGCCAAGUGGGGGCAGAUCACUUGGGUCAGGAGUUCGAGACCAGCUGGCCAACAUGGUGAAACCUCGUCUGUACUAAAAAUACAAAAAUUAGCCAGAUGUGGUGGUGUGGGCCUGUAAUCCCAGCUAUUCGGGUGGCUGAGGUAGGAGAAUUGCUUGAAGCUAGGAGGUGGAGGUUGCAGUGAGCCAAGAUCGUACCACUGUUCUCCAGCCUGGGGCUGAGACUGCCCCACUGCACUCCAGCCUGGGUGACAGAGUGAGAUCCUGUCUCAAAAAAAAAAAAAAAGAAAAAGAAAAAGAAAGAAAAAGAAAAGGGGUCUUGGGCUUGAGGGCUGCUGGUUUUUGUAAAAUCAUUUAAUAUCAUGUGAUUUCUAACUACACGAUGUUACAUUACAUUGAUUAAAAAGAAGAGCAUUUGGCUGGGCGCAGUGGCUCAUGCCUGUAAUCCUAGCACUUUGGGAGGCUGAGGUGGGAGGAUCACCUGAGGUCAGGAGUUCGAGAUCUGCCCAGCCAACAUGGUAAAACUCCGUCUCUACUAAAAAUACAAAAAUUAGGUCUGGGUGUAGUGGCUCACGCCUGUAAUCCCAGCACUUUGGGAGGCUGAGGCGGGUGGAUCACGAGGUCAGGAGAUCGAGACCAUCCUGGCUAACAUGGUGAAACCCCGUCUCUACUAAAAAUAUAAAAAAUUAGCCGGUCAUGGUGGCGGGUGCCUGUAGUCCCCGCUACUCGGGAGGCUGAGGCAGGAGAAUGGCGUGAACCUGGGAGGCGGAGCUUGUAGUGAGCCAAGAUCGUGCCACUGCACUCCAGCCUGGGCAAGAAAGCAAGACUCUGUCUCAAAAAAAAAGAAAAAAAAA